CAGAGCCGCGGUAAAACGUAGGGGGCGAGCGUUGUCCGAAGUUACUGGGCGUAAAGAGCGCGUAGGCUGGUCUUUAAGUGAGUGGUGGAAGGUUCGGGCUCAACCCGGACACUGCCUUUCAUACUGGGGACCUUGAGUGUGGGAGAGGCGAGUGGAAUGGUCGGUGUAGCGGUGAAAUGCGUAGAUAUCGAUCGGAACACCCAUGGCGAAGGCAGCUCGCUGGCCUAACACUGACGCUGAGGCGCGAAAGCGUGGGGAGCAAACAGGAUUAGAUACCCCCGUAGUCCCUGUCUCUUAUACC
rnacentral:rRNA from 1 species